rnacentral:rRNA from 1 species
AUUGAACGCUGGCGGCAGGCCUAACACAUGCAAGUCGAGCGGAUGAAGGGAGCCUGCUCCUGGAUUCAGCGGCGGACGGGUGAGUAAUGCCUAGGAAUCUGCCUGGUAGUGGGGGAUAACGUCCGGAAACGGGCGCUAAUACCGCAUACGUCCUGAGGGAGAAAGUGGGGGAUCUUCGGACCUCACGCUAUCAGAUGAGCCUAGGUCGGAUUAGCUAGUUGGUGGGGUAAAGGCCUACCAAGGCGACGAUCCGUAACUGGUCUGAGAGGAUGAUCAGUCACACUGGAACUGAGACACGGUCCAGACUCCUACGGGGGGCAGCAGUGGGGAAUAUUGGACAAUGGGCGAAAGCCUGAUCCAGCCAUGCCGCGUGUGUGAAGAAGGUCUUCGGAUUGUAAAGCACUUUAAGUUGGGAGGAAGGGCAGUAAGUUAAUACCUUGCUGUUUUGACGUUACCAACAGAAUAAGCACCGGCUAACUUCGUG